rnacentral:rRNA from 1 species
AGAUUGAACGCUAGCGGGAUGCUUUACACAUGCAAGUCGAACGGCAGCGCGGACUUCGGUCUGGCGGCGAGUGGCGAACGGGUGAGUAAUAUAUCGGAACGUGCCCAGUAGCGGGGGGAUAACUACGCGAAAGCGUGGCUAAUACCGCAUACGCCCUACGGGGGAAAGGGGGGGAUUCUUUCGAGAACCUCUCACUAUUGGAGCGGCCGAUAUCAGAUUAGCCAGUUGGUGAGGUAAAGGCUCACCAAGGCGACGAUCUGUAGCUGGUUUGAGAGGACGACCAGCCACACUGGGACUGAGACACGGCCCAGACUCCUACGGGAGGCAGCAGUGGGGAAUUUUGGACAAUGGGGGAAACCCUGAUCCAGCCAUCCCGCGUGUGCGAUGAGGCCUUCGGGUUGUAAAGCAACUUUUGGCAGGAAGAAACGGCGUACCCUUAAGUACGGGCGUCACUGACGUACCUGCAGAAUAAGACACCGGCUAACUACGUCGACCACGCACGCCGACGGUAA